rnacentral:rRNA from 1 species
UACGUAGGUGGCAAGCGUUGUCCGGAAUUAUUGGGCGUAAAGCGCGCGCAGGCGGUCCUUUAAGUCUGAUGUGAAAGCCCACGGCUCAACCGUGGAGGGUCAUUGGAAACUGGGGGACUUGAGUGCAGGAGAGAAGAGUGGAAUUCCACGUGUAGCGGUGAAAUGCGUAGAGAUGUGGAGGAACACCAGUGGCGAAGGCGACUCGUUGGCAUGUAACUGACGCUGAGGCGCGAAAGCGUGGGGAGCAAACAGG